AGUGAACGCUGGCGGUAGGCCUAACACAUGCAAGUCGAACGGCAGCACAGUAAGAGUUUGCUCUUACGGGUUGCCAGAGGCGGACGGAAGAGGUAAAUAUCGGACUCUACUUUUUCGUGGGGGUUAACGUAGGGAAACUUACUCCAAUAUAGCAUACGAUCUUCGGGUGAAAGUAUUGGAUAUUCGGACCUUUCGUGAUUUAAUGCGCCGAUGUUGGAUUAGCUAGUUGGCGGGGUAAAUGCCCACCAAGGCGACGAUCCGUAGCUGGUCUGAGAGGAUGAUCAGCCACACUGGAACUGAGACACGGUCCAGACUCCUACGGGAGGCAGCAGUGGGGAAUAUUGGACAAUGGGCGCAAGCCUGAUCCAGCCAUACCGCGUGGGUGAAGAAGGCCUUCGGGUUGUAAAGCCCUUUUGUUGGGAAAGAAAAGCAGCAGGUUAAUACCCCGCUGUUCUGACGGUACCCAAAGAAUAAGCACCGGCUAACUUCGUG
rnacentral:rRNA from 1 species